CCUAAAUACUAAUACCAGAUCGAUAGUGCACAAGUACCGUGAGGGAAAGGUGAAAAGAACUGAGGUGAUCAGAGUGAAAUAGAACCUGAAACCAUUUGCUUACAAUCAUUCAGAGCCCUAUGUAGCAAUACAGGGUGAUGGACUGCCUUUUGCAUAAUGAGCCUGCGAGUUGUGGUGUCUGGCAAGGUUAAGCAAACGCGAAGCCGUAGCGAAAGCGAGUCUGAAUAGGGCGCUUAGUCAGAUGCUGCAGACCCGAAACGAAGUGAUCUAUCCAUGAGCAAGUUGAAGCUAGUGUAAGAACUAGUGGAGGACUGAACCCAUAGGCGUUGAAAAGCCCCGGGAUGACUUGUGGAUAGGGGUGAAAGGCCAAUCAAACUUCGUGAUAGCUGGUUCUCUCCGAAAUAUAUUUAGGUAUAGCGUUGUGUCGUAAUAUAAGGGGGUAGAGCACUGAAUGGGCUAGGGCAUACACCAAUGUACCAAACCCUAUCAAACUCCGAAUACCUUAUAUGUAAUCACAGCAGUCAGGCGGCGAGUGAUAAAAUCCGUCGUCAAGAGGGAAACAACCCAGACUACCAGCUAAGGUCCCUAAAUCUUACUUAAGUGGAAAACGAUGUGAAGUUACUUAAACAACCAGGAGGUUGGCUUAGAAGCAGCCAUCCUUUAAAGAAAGCGUAAUAGCUCACUGGUCUAGUGAUUUUGCGCGGAAAAUAUAACGGGGCUAAAGUAAGUACCGAAGCUGUAGACUUAGUUUAC
rnacentral:rRNA from 1 species